AUCAAUGAGAUUCGUAACAAUUCCGCGCAAACAGCGUUCACAUUCAAUGUGCGACGCAAAAUAAACACAACGAGCACACGCUAGAGUGUGUGCGGUGUGCAAAAAACGGCAGAAAAAUUCCAAACAACAGUAAACAAUUGAGUUGUGCGCUGCUGUUUGCUGCUGUUGCCGCUGAAUCCCCGAUGUGUUCAGCUGCAUAUCGUAUAAAACGAGUCACCAGUACGGCAAAUAUUUCAAUUCAACUUGAGCCAUCCGAUCGUCAAAACGUUUACACAGUGUCUCUUACAAAAUUCAGAAUUUUUUUUGCUCAUAUAAUUCCCAGUUUCAAAGUGAUUGACACGGAUUUGUGGUCGCUUUUUUCAUAUAUUUUUUUUCCGCUAACUAGUUGAAAGUGUUUGUGCAAUUUUUCCACAUUUUUCGACGUGAAUCGAUAUCCUAUUCCAUUAAAUUGCAUUCGCUGAGCAGUGAAUAGGAGAAUUAAAUUACCAACCGAAGCGAACAGCGACGGAAAGUGGAAGCAACUCCAAAGGAUAUUUUCAAGCGGAAUAAAAGACAAGAACUACCAAUUUUAAAAUGAAGAUUUGGUCUGCCGUAGCUAUUUUCAUAGUGAUUGCUUUCAACAUGCUGGCAAAUACAUUUGCUGUGCCAGUUUCGCAACCACACACGGUUGGGAAAUCGAUGAUGGAAAUCCCGCAAUGGCAUUGCUUGCGCUACUUCAAGCAUGACAUACACUUGAUGAGACGAUGCCGAAAUUAUCGUGUGCCAAUGUUACGUCGACCACUUGAAUAAACUCUUUCAUUCAAUCCAUUUUUUUUCUGAACACACAGAUUUGUUUCUUGAAUUUUGAUAUAUUUUAUAAAUAUUCUGAUUUUCUUUUCGAUUUUUUUUUUAAAACGACAGACGAUUUUGAAUUUGAUGUUGUUUAUUACAUUUUUACUCAUUUUUUAUGAGUCGACGUUUUAUUAGGUGAUUUUGUGAAUGAGCGACCCGAUAAGUAGAAGCGAUGUUUAGUUACCACCAUUUUUUUGUUUCGUUUUUCGAUUAGUUUAGUCGAUUUUUAAGUGAUAUUGUGAAUUUUUAUUUUUUUUAACCAGAAUCAACACAAUACAAAUGAUUGAUGAUGAUUUGUGUACUCGAUUCAAAGUCGUGUGAAAUAGAUAAUGAUAUUAUUAAUCCAAAUUUUAUGUAUAAAGUGAAUGUUAUGGUAAUCUAUCAUAUUUUAUGUAACUCUAAUCAAUUAAUAUUGAUCAAUUGCGAAAUAGUUCAAUUUUUAUCUAAAUACAACAUUAAUUCGAUUUAAAAGCAGUUUGAUUCUAGUUUAUCUUUUGGGCCAGUUUUAGACAAGUUUUAAAAUUUAAUGUUAAUCUACUUUGUUUUUAAUUUUAAGUGAACGUUUUGAACUGUUACAUUCAUUUUCGUUUUUUUUUUUUAAAUAAAUUUCUUUUAAGGAAAACAUAAUUUUUAAUUCUUUUUUUUAAAUUGAAAUUUCUUUGAUUUUUUCAAUUUUGUUUUCGUUUUGAAGUUUUAAUGUUUUUAAAAUUGAAAUAAAUUUUUUCUAAUAGAAGUUUUUUCGAUAAUUUUGUUUUUUCAAUGGAAAAAAUGUAAAGAUUUUUUAAAACUUUUUUUUGAAGAGACAAGAAGUUUUUGUCAAGAACUGUGAAUCAAACUGUUUUAACCCUCUAAUGCAUUAAUUUUUCCCAGGGGAGUACUGGUACUUGGUUGAUUUUUGGCCAUAGAUAAUUAAAAAAAUAUUCAUAAUCCUGGAUUCCUCAUGGUUUAGUCAGAAAAUGCGAUUGACAUAAAUCAGAGAACAAUCAAAUCCAUUGUUUAAGAGUGUCUUAAAUUUGUCUAAUUUGGAGUUCGAAUAAUUUAUUUUGUCAAAUUUAUGUUUUUGCACACUUUUUUGUUUAUAACUUUACAAUCACACUACAUAGACAAAUAUUGCCAAAGACAAAAAUGAAGAGAGAACAAUGACGAAUGAAAAUUCUCUUCAAAGCAAUGUGAUCUGAUGUACGGUUUACGUUCUACAGGCGUUCAAAUGUUGCCCGUCAUGGGUUGUAUGCAUUAGAGGGUUAAAUCGAAAUAAAAUCUGUGGUUAAUUACGCACAUUACGAAUGUUAGCCAAAUGGAAACUAAGCAAAAAUAAACCAGAAUAUUUAUUCCAAA